rnacentral:sRNA from 2 species
UUGACACUAAGGGCGGAGUGACAUAAUUUCAGGAGUGAGGGUUAGGGAGAGGUUUCCCCCCUCCCUCUGGUGUUCUUAGUAAGCCUGGAAGCUAAUCACUAAGAGUAUCACCAGUAUGAUGACGUGCUUCAUCAUAACCCUUUCCUUAUU